CGGGUGGGUGAAAGACCCGAGCUAACAUGGGGUUAGUUCGUUAAAUUACAAUAAAGCCUCGUGCAGUUUGCAGCAAGCUCUCGAAUCCGCCUGGUGAUUGGGGUGACCACGAACCUGGCCUGAGACCCCGGAUACUUGAGUUUUCGGGGGUCUAACAUUUUGGGGGCUCGUCCGCGAUUUUCGACCACCCUUCACCUGAGUGGAUUCGAUCUUGGAGCACAUGGCAUGGGAAAGGAGUUCUGCCAUGUGUCACGGGUUAGAAUGUGUUAUGUUGGAGUCCCCCGAGGCUGCUUUUCUGAACUCGAACCACUGCUGCAGCCCUUACAGCUGAGCCUGGCCCAUGUAGACAGACUGCCAGAUCCUGACAGUGACCCAAAGUCUCCAAAGAAGAUUACGAGGCACCUCAGUUCCUGCACCUGGACCAGUGAGCGAGAUGCUCAGAUGUGAAACCUGCCGCCUGCCAGAACCUGGCCGAGAAUGUGGACAAAGCUGCUGGACACUGGAAAAUUGAUUGCACCCCUUUGCCUAGACAAAACAAGGUCAGUCUUUUCCAUGUCCCUCUUCCACAGAGAGGAAAAAAAACUCUCACAGUAUAGGCCUGGCGAAGAUUGCUGUUCUUUGAGACACCUGCCUCCAGCGACAUCUGAGUAUCAGUACUCACUACAGGCUGUUCUAAGUAGACUGCGAGCCCUGGACUUGCUGUGGAUGUGAACCAGUUCAGCUGAUAUGGACACCCCCUGUCUCUGCAACAGUGUCUGCUAACCAGAAGCCCCUAAUAAAUUCCCCAUUGCCUAAAUUCCUUUUUGCUUUUGACUAGCAUUUCAACCUUCUGGGGUCCCUAACUUCGUCCCAAAGUCAGCAGGAAGCAGUUUGGAAAAGAAUUUCGCCGUCCAUUUUCCCUGGUUAAAAUGCUAAGUCAAAAGGAACUCCC
rnacentral:lncRNA from 1 species